AUGAGAAAGCCCCACAAGCUUCUGCCCAACUACCUUCUCCUCUACCGACGCACCAGACCCUACACCUCAACCGCGGCCAACCCCGUCGCGGCCGCCUCCGCCGUCCUCCGUGACCUCGAUCUCCUGGACGCCGGCGAGCUCGCCCCGACCCCGCGCGUUUACCGCUCGUUCAUAACCGCCUGUGCGCAAUCCAAGAACCUCGAGGAUGCCAGGAAGAUCCACGCGCACCUGGGCAGCUCCCGGUUCGCCGGCGACGCCUUCCUCGACAACUCGCUCAUCCACAUGUACUGCAAGUGCCGCAGCGUGCUGGACGCGCGGAAUGUGUUCGACCAAAUGCGGAGGAAAGACAUGGUCUCCUGGACCUCGCUCAUUGCCGGGUACGCGCAGAACGACAUGCCGGUGGAGGCCAUCGGGCUGCUCCCUGGCAUGCUGAAGGGGCGGUUCAAGCCAAACGGGUUCACGUUCGCCAGCCUCCUCAAGGCUGCCGGCGCUUAUGCUGACAGCGGCACCGGGAGGCAGAUCCAUGCUCUCGCUGUGAAGUGUGGUUGGCAUGAGGACGUCUAUGUUGGGAGCGCGCUUCUCGACAUGUAUGCGCGGUGUGGGAAGAUGGACAUGGCCACCGCAGUGUUUGACAAACUUGACUCGAAGAAUGGGGUUUCCUGGAACGCAUUGAUCUCCGGGUUUGCAAGGAAGGGUGAUGGAGAGUCUGCUCUGAUGACCUUUGCAGAGAUGCUGAGAAAUGGGUUUGAAGCGACACAUUUUACAUACUCCAGUGUCUUCAGUUCUAUCGCUCGUUUAGGUGCUCUUGAGCAGGGGAAGUGGGUGCAUGCACAUGUGAUUAAAUCUCGGCAGAAACUGACUGCAUUUGUUGGAAAUACAUUGCUUGACAUGUAUGCAAAAUCAGGGAGCAUGAUCGACGCGAGAAAGGUGUUUGACCGUGUGGAUAAUAAGGAUCUAGUUACUUGGAACUCAAUGCUCACAGCAUUUGCACAAUAUGGGCUCGGGAAGGAAGCAGUUUCCCAUUUUGAGGAGAUGAGGAAGUCUGGCGUUUACCUGAAUCAGAUCACCUUCCUUUGCAUUUUGACUGCCUGUAGCCAUGGAGGACUGGUGAAGGAGGGCAAGCGCUACUUUGAAAUGAUGAAGGAGUACGAUUUAGAACCAGAGAUUGAUCAUUAUGUUACGGUUGUUGCUCUUCUCGGCCGAGCUGGUUUACUAAAUUAUGCUCUGGUCUUUAUAUUUAAAAUGCCCAUGGAGCCAACUGCUGCAGUUUGGGGAGCCUUGCUUGCGGCUUGCAGAAUGCAUAAGAAUGCUAAAGUAGGGCAAUUUGCAGCUGAUCAUGUAUUUGAACUUGACCCAGAUGAUAGUGGUCCACCUGUCUUGCUGUAUAACAUAUAUGCUUCCACAGGCCAAUGGGAUGCUGCAGCCAGAGUGAGGAUGAUGAUGAAGACAACUGGUGUGAAGAAGGAACCUGCAUGCAGUUGGGUUGAGAUGGAGAAUUCUGUGCACAUGUUUGUGGCAAAUGAUGAUACCCAUCCACAAGCGGAAGAGAUAUAUAAGAUGUGGGGUGAGAUAAGCAAGAAGAUUAGGAAAGAAGGAUAUGUUCCUGAUAUGGAUUAUGUGCUUCUGCAUGUAGAUGAUCAAGAGAAGGAGGCAAACCUACAGUACCACAGCGAGAAGCUUGCGCUUGCAUUUGCACUGAUCGAAAUGCCUGCAGGGGCAACAAUUCGUAUCAUGAAAAAUAUUAGGAUAUGUGGGGAUUGCCACUCUGCAUUCAAAUACAUCUCCAAAGUUUUUGGAAGGGAGAUUGUUGUGAGGGACACAAAUAGAUUUCAUCAUUUCAGUAGUGGAUCUUGUUCCUGUGGAGAUUACUGGUGA
rnacentral:rRNA from 1 species